UUCCACUAAGCUUCUUAACAAAAUUGCUGACUGGUGAUUUUUACUCGUGUGCCCUAUAUCUGAGUAGAAUAAUAGUAAGACGAUGACGAAACAAAUUUUCAACAUUUCUUGAAAAUGGAAUGCCCAUGCCAGAGAUCAUACACUGCCGUUCUAUGUAGUAUCUAUGUAUAUUAAUGGUGGCUAAAGCGAGUUCCUUAUCGUUUACACUUUGCAAUAUUAUCUGUGUCUUCGCAAUACCUGUGUGAAGAAAGAAGAUGUAGGCAAUCAGAUGGAAGAGGUUUUCCGAGGACGAAGAUCGGCCUGAGAAGCCUAGAAGGUUCGGUGUUACCGAGAUGAGAGGCCCCAUUACACCUGUUAAGCCAAAACCUCUUUCAGUUUGUUGAUUGGUUGAAGUUUACCCGGAGGCUCUCAUAGUUUGACGCGGAAUGAUUUCAUUAAAGAUGUGACAAACAUGGCCCACAAACACAAUGUAUAUGUCAGUACAGGUGACUGGUGGGCUGAACAUUUACUUUGCAAAGGUCCAUCUGCAUUCAAAGAAUACAUAGAGGUGUGACAAUAUAAGUUCUAAUCUUUUUCUUAGUGACUACUUGCCGAAUCCCUUGGCACUGAAUUGUGUGUGUGUUGUGUUUUUCCUUUUUAAUGUCAUUGUUCGAGGAAUGUAAGCAACUGGGAUUUGAUACAGUUGAGAUUAAUGUGGGGUCACUUGGAGUUCCUGAAGAAACUCUCUUGAGAUUUGUGCGGUUCAUUAAGAGUGGUGGCCUGAAAGCCAAGCCCCAAUUUUACAGUGAAGUUCAACAGGUCUGAUAUCCCCGCCAAUGGUGACCAAGCAUUUGUUUCUUAUGUGGUCCCAACACCUCGAUCUUCUGAUAAAAUUUAAUUUCCAGAGUGUGGGGAAGUAUGAAACAAAAAAAUUUGUGACUGGAUUGAUAACAUGCUGAGAUGCUGCCUAAUCCUUAUUUUAGGUCAUGGAUUAGGUACAUGUGUUCAGAUGAUCUUGUCGUAUUUUGUAUACAUUGUUAGUAGAAGUAUGCUGAAAAUGUUUUUAUAAUCAUAGGUGGAGUAAAAAAGGUGAUUUAGGUACUUAGAGAACAUGUUUCUGAAAUGCCAUGUGUACUAGCUCAAACAGUGGCUGCAUUUAGAGUUAGCAUCUCACAGAUGAAAAUUGUGUGUGUCAAGAUGGGAUUAACUUUUGUGAUUACCAUAUUCAGUACAUUUUAACAUUGCAAUUUUCAAUACUGUAGAGUGGUUGAUAAAUUGUUGCUUAUUGAGCUUCUACAGCGCCUUGCAUUAGACAAAACACGUGUAUAAUGGGACGUAGAAGGUCCUUGUCCCGGAAACUCUAAGAGAUAAUUAGUCCUCCGUGUUUAAGAACUCCAAGUGAUCCGUGUCAUGGCAUUUUUUUUAUCCUAAAUAUUUACAAUGCAUUUAAAGUUGGCAGGGUGUAAACCUUGAUCAAUUUACACAAAGAUAUUGGGAUGAUAAUUAGUCCUCCUGUCUUUAACAUUUCAAUGUUCCUCUUGUCCAUGGUGAUUUUAUAUCUCGUUUUUCACAUUUCUGUUUGACAUGGGCCGCUAGAGACUGUCAUAGAGUGCCUUAUGUGGUUAUUAAAUGGACUAUGAGUAAGAAAACCACUGAUAUGUAGUGUAUAUUUGGCCUUCUUUACUAUUGGAUGUAUUUUCUAAUGACCUUGUUCAAGUUAUUCAUAUUAGAUUAGCAGAUAGGUUAGAAAAUUUCUGGAGAUAAUAUAUAUAUUUGUCGUUUUUGAAAAACUGUUAACAAUUCUAUUCAUGUUUGCCAAUGCAAGGUUCCAUUCUUUUUAUUUAUUUUAUAUUUAUAAUUCUUUUUUUUUUUUUUUUUCUUGAAGUCUAUUAAUAUCUUUUGUCAUGGGAAAAACUUAUAUACCAUAUAAUUUUAAGCCAUUAUGUAGUGCUGCAUAUAUAUUCGUUAACUUUCUCCGGAUUUGGGACAAGAACCUCACACUUAACAUCAGUCUAACCAUAAACAGACUGAAUCUGUUUUUGGAUUCAACCAGUGAAUGAUCGAUCUUAACCCAAAACUCAUAUAAUUAUUAAACAUGGUCUAGGCCUUACCAAACCCAUAAAAGUAAUAGAUUGAGUUGGAGUGGGUUUCAAAAAAAAAAAAAUUACGACAUAAGAGGCCCGGUAAUUGUCUGGUGCAUGUGGGACGGGGAUAAACAUGCAUUUCAAUAUUCCAGGAUCAGGGUUUUGAGAAUGUUAUUUUAUGUUUUUCACUAGUUCUAGGAGGACUAUAUUCAGUUAAGGCAAUAAAUACUUGAAGAAUUUAAGUCAGAAAAUGAAAACUGUCACUACAAAUGAUGAUAUAUGAUCAAAUUGAAAUUUCUAGAAAAAUUCCAAAGCUAAUUACUCUCUGAGUUUGGGAGUACUAAUUGGUGCCUUGGAAUUGAAUUUUUAUUAUUUUUAUUUUUAUGUGUCAUUGGCAAGAAACUCACACACCACUCACACACCCACUUUGCUCCUUUGGAGACUCGAACUCUCACCAUCCACUUUGAGAGGUAGAGGAGAUACCAUUGGACCACGAGGCCCUUGUUGCGUUGGACUUGAAAUUGAAGAAAGAAAAAUUAGUGCUCCAAAACAUAGAAUUAUUGGUGGAAUUUAGAUCUCCUCUAUCUACCAGGUGAAUACAAUGAUUAAUUCAAAUCUCCUUUACGCGGGCCAAAUGUUUUAAACAUUUCAAGUGUUUGGAUGUCACCUCUUAGUUUCCUUUUCUUACUAUUCAAACACUUGAAAUUUAAAAUUAAAAAAAAAAAAAAUCAUUUUCUUGCUUUUCUAACUUGAAAAAAAGUUUCACGUAUUGCAGGAUUGUUAGGAUAAAUUGGGCUGGUAUUGCAGUCUUUUUAGGACAAACUUGCUUUUGGUUGAACAAUACUAAAAAGUCCAGUUUGAAAAUGACAUGGGCUUCGUGGAGUAGAUAAAGUUUUCUUUUCAUGGGCUCCUAGGUUCUGUAACUGUGUUGCCUAUGAACUUGGUAAAUGGGCUUUCAAUUGUAAGCAAAGUGAUCUUAUUCUUUUUAUGCAGUUAUUCAUGUAUAUUUUGCUGGUUGUCUAUAAAAUUUCUAUUUACUUUGUUAAAAAUAAAUUUUAUUAAUUAAAAUAAAAAAAAUUAAGAAAUUGUAUAGUAGCCUUUCUUUUUUCAUUACAGAAGCUAAAUCAUCGACAUCAGUUCAGAAAAUCUCACUGUACAACCAAUGUAUCACAGCCCAAUGUAAACAUACGGACUAUACAAAGUUUAACAAACACCAACGGGCCAGUAGUCUAGUAGUAUCAACCUCUUACUUCUCAAAGAAAGGUCAGGGGUUCAAGUCUCAGAAGAGACAAGUGUGUGUGAGUACCAAAUAGGGAAGAAAAAAAAAAAAAAAAAAAGUUCAACAAACAAAAACUUAGGCCCAGAGACCCAAAAACAGGCAGACAAUAAUCGAAUUUGGAAUCAGCUGCAUCAAAUGAAGUGUCCUAAAGAUGAUCGAAGACGAUCAUGAUUAAUUUAUCAGAGCUGCGUAUACACUGCCAUUAUAUAUGUAUCUGUGUAUGUAUAUAUAUUAACAAGGAUGACUAGAAUGAGAACCUUAUCGUUCUUUCUUUGCAAUAUUGCCUGUCUCUUGCUAAUUUAUGUGUGAAGAAAGAAGAUGUCGGCAUACAGAUGGAAGAGCUUCUACGAGGACGAAGAUCGCCCCGAAAAUCCCAGAAGGUUCGGUGUCAGCGAGAUGAGAGGCCCCAUUACACUCUCUUAAGCCAAAACCUCCUUCAGGUCUCUCUCUAUGAAGAAGAUGUCCACAUACGGAUGGAAGAGUAUGUACGAGGACGAAGAACGUCUUGAGAAGCCUAGAAGGUACGGUGUUACAGAGAUGAGAGGACCCCCUCACACCCUCUUAAGCCAAGACCUCGUUAAGCUCUCUCUGUGUGUGUGUGUGUGUGUGUGUGUGUGUGUGUGUGUGGCUUUAGCUUCGUGUGUUAAUAAAUUCCUUGUAAUGUCUUUCUCUGAUUAUUCAUCUCUUUAUAAUCCCAUGUCAAGUUUAAGUUUUUAGGGCUUUUAUUUAUAGGUUUGAGAUAGACUCCUUGUUGUUAAGGGUUUCACUAUGAUUAUGAUUAUAUGAUUUAAUCUGAAAAUGGAGAAAUUGAUUUAGUUUAA